CAUUAUUUAAUCUGGUAACUGUAUCUUUCCUAUUAUGUGUCUCAGAUCACAAAGAAAAAAGCCAGCCAGAAACCCACGUAUGUCAACCUAAGACAGAGUCUGGAAGACAUGAAAUCUCACUGCUUAGAAAAUGGUGUCAAUAGGAUAUCAAUACCCCGAAUUGGCUGUGGCCUGGACCAGCUGCUGUGGUCAAAGGUGUCAAAGAUCCUGGAACAGAUCUUUAAAGAGACAAAUAUCUCCAUCACAGUGUACAGCCUGCCCUGUGUUGGGUCAAAGCUUCAAAUGCAUGCCAUGUAGUACAUUUUCACUGGGGGUUUUUUAGCUUUAAAUCCUUUAUAAUCUCUUAAAAUUUUGGAUGAAAUCAACACUCCUUAAACAGUUUUAAGGAAACAAUAAAAAAGGAAACAAUAAAAACCUCCCCAUAAGAUGUUUAGAUACAAGACUUUUAACAUCCCACUGAUGUAAAAAUGAUGUUUCCUGUCAUUAAAGAUAUGAAACUUAUUGUAAACACUGAUGUUGCACUCUAGCACUAUCACACUACAUGAUGCUACUACUAAAUCAUGCUACACAAAAUGAUCCAACAAAGCACAUGAGGCAGGUAAAAUACAAUAGUUAUGCCUAGAAUUUGCUCUCCGUUAUUCUAAAUCUAUAUAGUUGUUGAAAACGUAGCUUUUCCUGUGAAUCUGUAAAUCUAAAUUGUGAAAGAGUUUGCUUCUCUAGCUUUAUUUUCCUGACCCAAAUUCAGGAGCAAGGUUGUUGUCACAAGUUUUUUUGUCAUGAGUUUAUAGUGAUUCUGAUGCUUGACUUUUUUAGUAUUUGUAACCUGUGAAUUAUGUUGUACAGGAUAUUAGAACUUUCUUUGAAAAUUGCUUUGUAAAUAAAAUUUAAGAUCAUGGUUUUUGACAACCUUUACCUGCUCAGACAACAGGCAACGGUAUGUAGGAAAAUGCAAUUUGAAAUUUUUAAAAAUUUCUUAGUUUUGCCUGAAAAAUGAACUUUUGAUGUAACAAAAAAAAAUUAAAAAU